rnacentral:misc_RNA from 1 species
GAUGAAGAACGUAGUGAAAUGCGAUACUUGGUGUGAAUUGCAGAAUCCCGUGAACCAUCGAGUCUUUGAACGCAAGUUGCGCCCGAAGCCAUUAGGCCGAGGGCACGCCUGCCUGGGCGUCACACGUCGUUGCCCCCCGCAUCUACUCCUUCGGGAUUGCGGGGGGCGGAUGAUGGCCUCCCGUGCGCCUCGCCGCGCGGUUGGCAUAAAUGCCAAGUCCUCGGCGACGCACGCCACGACAAUCGGUGGUUGCGAAACCUCGGUUGCCCGUCGUGUGCGGUCGUCGCGCAUCGAGGGCUCGAAAAAAUUGCCGAGUUCCGGCUCGGCUUUCAACGCGACCCCAGGUCAGGCGGGGUUACCCGCUGAAUUUAAGCAUAUCAAUAAGCGGAGGA